CAUGAACCCAGCAAUUAUAGAGAAAUUAUUUCUUGUUCAGAUGCAGAUCAUUGGGUCGGUGCUAUAAGUGAAAAAAUUGAAUCUCUUCACAAGAAUUAGACUUGGAAGCUUGUAACAUUGCGUAAGGGACAGAAAGUGGUAGGCUGCAAAUGGGUGUUCAAGAAAAAGAAAGGCACUCCAGGAGUUGAAGUACCUCGAUAUAAGGCACGGUUGGU
rnacentral:misc_RNA from 1 species